UACUGUAGAAAAGCAAAUAAUAGCUUGAGGCACUCUCUCAACCCACAAGCUGAGAAUUAUAAGCAAGGUAAGAAGAUACUAGUGUGAAACUAUUUAAAGUUGUAUGGCCUUGUUUCAACUAACUGAACGCUGUUCAUAAAUCACGGGCUAUGAGAUCUCCUGAGCAGCAGCCAUCCAGUUUUCCCAAGUAGAGCUUAAGCUUGUUCUCAGUUCCGUUUUCGGUGGAGAAGAGCCCAAGUCAGACAUGUCCCUGUGUGUGAAGCAUUGAGUAUCAGUGCUUCUGGUAUGAUACACAAGUACAUGUGCAUCUUUUUCUUCAUUUAUUCAUUAGGUUACAGCCAGGCAACAGCAGUUCCAGGACAGGAAGAGGAUAUUUUGAACAAUGGUCUCCAAAGCAGGCCUGAGCAUAGGUUAUCAUAGGAAUCAGAGAGGAGUCAAGGAAAAUAACCUUGACCUUUCUCUUCUCAUUCAUUUCCCAUUAUAUAUUUCUUUUCUUACUAACACACACACAUAUAUAUUUCUUAAUAAAACCAAAUGGCAUAGGUUACAUCACAGCUCCUACAUUGUUUCUGAGACUUACAAGUGAUUAUUACAGCUCUGAUUUCAGAGCAUUUUUGCUAUGAUAUUGAAGAAGAGAGGAAAUAGGAAAAAGGGCUGUAGGAUGUGGACCAGCGGGGAAAGAGCAAUUCCCACCUUUUGCCUUAUGGUAUAGCCCCUUGUUGAAAAACAUGUAAUACUCUCUUCCUCUUCACCUUUUGCAUUAGUUGACUACACUUGGUAUUGGCUGUGAAUGUAUCUUAUUAGCAUUGGAAGGGUGUGUACUGCUUUGAAAAUGAGACUGAUGGUUGAAUUUCAUGUCAGAAAAAAAAAAAAAAAAGAAAAGAAAAGAAAAAAAAUGUAAAAAACAUAUCCUAAAAGGUGACAGCCCGUGUUUCAUUUUCCCUGCCCCAUAUCCUGUUCUGGGAAAACUUUUCUUCACUUCUGACUUAAUAAAAGCAUAUACACACACUGAACUUUUUUAAUAUUAUUUUUACUAUUCACACUUUCGAACCACAGAGAGGGACCAAUUUACAUGGCCUAAAAUCCGGGGAAAGUUUUGUUCUGGAAACAAUUAUUUUUGUUGAGAACUAUUGAUGAGGUGAUUACCUAAGAAUUCAGUGGUAGGAAAUGGAAGAGGAGGCAAUUUCUGAGUUUUGAAAGAUCAUCAAUAACAAGUGAAAACAAGUCAGGUUACUCUGUGGAUUGUUUAUACAAGGGUAGUUGUUGAUAAAUGAGCUUCAGAUUGUAUAUUAGAGAUGCACAGUACGUGUGUAAUUGUGCAAUGCAUAAUAAAAGUUUUACUGCUCUCAGCUUGUGAAUAAUGCAUAAUGUACAGACAAUUUACUCAAUGUUUGCAAAAAAAAAAAACAGUUCUCAACAUUUUUCUUUUUCUAAUGUUCAACAAUUUCCCUUAGUUUUCAGUUUUGCAAAUUGUCAAAAACGUUAGAAAUAACCUCACCAUACUACAGAUCUAGUUUUAUAUUACUUACUGGGGAAAAAAAGAAUUAAUAAACGAAAGUUCCAUAUUUUAGGCAACACAUACCAUGGUUAAGAUGCUGAAGUAUAUGGUGACUUAGCUUCAUAUUACCGUAGAGCAGCAAGAGAAGAUGCUUUGUGAGUUGUGUUAAUAUGUGAUUAAUCAAAGUUAGGGGUGACUUGCCCACUAAGGUGGACAGUGCUGAAGCCCUUUCUUUGCUCUGCCAGGUUCCAUGUACCUUGCAGGUAACGUGAUAGAAGUGUUUUCCACACACUCAUUCCAGGUACUCUCACUUCUGAAGAUGAAUGAUAACAAUAUUUGCAAAGUCGUGGCUGUCAGCUGAGGUCCUGGAUGACUGGAGGAAGGGUCAUGUCACUCCCAUUUAUAAGAAAGGGAACAAGAAGGACCCAGGGAACUACAGGCUGGUGAGUGUCAUGGAAAAGAUCCUCCUGGAUGACAUGCUUGAUCACGUGAGGAAUGAGAAUGUGAUCUGAGACGGUCAGCAUGGCUUCACCAGGGGAAGGUCAUGCCUAACCAAUCUAGUGGUCUUCUAUGAUGGAGUGAUGGCUUUGGUGGACAAAGGGAAGGCGACCAAUGUCAUUUACCUGGACAUGAGCAAGGCCUUUGAUGUGGUCCCCCAGCACAUCAUUAUCUCCACAUUGGAGGGAUGUGGAUUUGAUAGGUGGACCACCUGAAGGAUAAGGAAUUGGUUGAAAGGCUGCAGACAGAGGGUGGUGAUUAAUGGUUCAGUGUCCAGGCAGAGGUCGGUAAUGAGCAGUGUCCCCCAAGGGGUCUGUCUUGGGACCGGUGCUCUUUAACAUCUUUAUCAAUGACAUAAACAAUGGAAUUGAGUGCACCCUCAGCAAGUUUACUGACAACACCAAGCUGAGUGGUGAGGUUGACACAGUGGAAGGAAAGGAUGCCAUUCAGAGGGACCUCAAUGGAUUUAAAAGGUGGGCCCAGAUGAAUCUAAUGAGGUUCAACACAACAAAGUGCAAGGUUUUGUACUUGGGCAAGAGGAAUCCCAGGCAAAUAUACAGACUGGGAGGAGCAGUCCUUGAGAGUAGCCCUGCAGAGAAGGACCUGACGGAUGAAAAUCUUAACAUGAGCCAGCAGUGUGCUCUUGCAGCUUGGAAAGUAAAUGGUAUCCUGGGUUCCAUCAGAACAGUGGGGGACAGCAGGGACAGAGAGGUGAUUGUCCCUCUCUACUCUGCUCUUGUGAGGCCCCAUCUGGAGUACUGUGUCCAGGUUUGGAGCCCCCAGUACAAGAAAAACAGCUGUUGAAGAGGGUCCAGAGGAGGGCCACAAAGAUGACCAGAGGGUUGGAGCACCUCCCCUACGAAUACAGGCUGAGGGAGUUGGGCUUGUUCAGCCUGAAGAAAGGAAAGCUGUGGGGUGACCUAAUUGCAGCCUUUCAGUGCCUAAAGGGAGCCUAUAAGCAGGAAGGGAGUCAACUGUUUGAAAGGGUAGAUAACAGCAGGACAAGGGGAAUUGGUUUUAAGUUGAAGGAGGGAAGAUUUAGGUUGGAUGUCAGUGGGAAGUUCUUUACUAUGAGAGUGGUGAGGUGCUGGUACAGGCUGCCCAGAGAGGUUGUGGAUGUCCCGUCCCUGGAGAUGGUCAAGACCAGGUUGGCCGGGGCCCUGGGCAGCCUGGUCUAGUAUAAAAUGUGGAGGUUGGUGCCCCUACUUGAGGCAAGGGGGUUGGAGAUUCAUGAUCCUUGAGGUCCCUUCCAACCUGGGCCAUUCUGUGAAAGAAUGUUCCUGUGUCAGAUUGUCUGCAUGUAGGUGAAAGUUUAAAGAGUGCUCCGUCAUGAUAAAACCAAGAGAUUUGCAGAGUGAAAGUGAAGUAGCUACUAUUCUCACUAUUGAGGAACAUAUCCUCUACACUAUCACAGCCAUAAAUGAAUAGUAACAACAAACAGGAUUUCUAGCAGGGCCAGGUACUGGUGAGGUAACUAAUACUUCAAUAAUAUCAGAAAGGUUUCAGUCUGUCAUAAGGUUUGUUUCAAGGAUUAUUCUCAAGUGCAGAAAUCUGGAAAAGCAAAUAAAUAUUGACCUAGCAUACAAGAAAGUAACAGUAAGAAAAGGUGAGUGCAGCUGGUUCCCUGUGGAGGAAGUUGGUUUCAUCAGAAGAAAGAACCACAAAAGAAUUUUCUCAGCAUGUACAUAGGAAAAAAAGGAGACAUUUCUAACGUCACCAGCAUUUUAAUGAAAGUUUGAGUAAGAAAAAAAAAUAAUGCCUCUAAUUUUAACUCUGCAAAGUGCUCAGCAAUGCAAAUCCUUACAGAUUUUAACUGUGGAAGAGCUCAAGAAGGAGCUUAAGUAAGAUCUGCAGUUGGAAAGAUUUUUUGAUCUGAAUUCAGAGAUUCUACAAUAGAUGCAGCCUGUAUUAUCAGCUGUAAGAAAUGUCCAUGGAAGGACGAAUUGCACUCUUGUAGCACCUGAGUUUGGUGACAUUUAUAAUUUUGAGAUAACAAGGUGUUGACAUUGGCCCAUAUUUUUUUCCCCUCCUGUGAUCAUGUUCUGUUAAAGUGAGCCCAUACAUAUAUUUGUAUGACAAAUGCCACAUCUGUAGUUUGUACACAAAUGUCUGAAAUAUUUAGAGUCCAUAUUAUAAAUCUCUAAUUUAAAAAUACAUAUUUACAACUAAAUUAAGGUUUUGGAGGCAGAUUAGUAGGUAACUUAUUAAUAAUUCCCAUUUAAUAGUUUCUUUUAAUAGUUUUAAUUCUGCAAUCUCCAAUUCAUGUUAUAAAAUAACCCCAUUUGUACAGUCAUAAUACAAAAGGUGUAUUUUGCUAAAAUAAUACUUAACAAUUUUCUGAUAUUUCCCUGGCAUUUACUCAUACACAAUUUUCUGAUAUUUCCCUGGCAUUUACUCAUGCAUCAGUCAGUGAAAGUUUACUUCUUACAUAAAUAUCUCUCACACUAUUUUACAAAACAAAACAAAAGAUCUGUGGAAAUAAUGCAGAAGUGAUGUUUUUCAAGAAAUCACGCAAAGUCUGAGCUCAACAGACCCUUUCAAAGGUACAGAGAUUUGGCCAUCCAGUUACCUCUUGUCAUGAGACUGUAAACAUGUUUUAUCUACAGAAGAAGCAGGUAUUGAAUGCUGUCAGUGAGACUUCUUCCAGCUCCACAGGAAUCAUAAGCAAUUGUUUGCCCUAGUGCUUUGGCAAAUUAUCAGUGCUAACUAUAUGGAAAACAUAUGCCAA
ensembl:lncRNA